AUUGAACGCUGGCGGCAUGCCUUACACAUGCAAGUCGAACGGUAACAGGUCUUCGAAUGCUGACGAGUGGCGAACGGGUGAGUAAUACAUCGGAACGUGCCUAGUAGUGGGGGAUAACUACUCGAAAGAGUGGCUAAUACCGCAUAAGAUCUACGGAUGGAAGCAGGGGAUCGCAAGACCUUGUGCUACUAGAGCGGCCGAUGGCAGAUUAGGUAGUUGGUGGGAUAAAAGCUUACCAAGCCGACGAUCUGUAGCUGGUCUGAGAGGACGAUCAGCCACACUGGGACUGAGACACGGCCCAGACUCCUACGGGAGGCAGCAGUGGGGAAUUUUGGACAAUGGGCGCAAGCCUGAUCCAGCAAUGCCGCGUGCAGGAUGAAGGCCUUCGGGUUGUAAACUGCUUUUGUACGGAACGAAAAGCCCCGGGUUAAUACCCUGGGGUCAUGACGGUACCGUAAGAAUAAGCACCGGCUAACUACGUGCCAGCCGCCGCCGUAA
rnacentral:rRNA from 1 species